GUUCGACGUUCAUACAUUUUAUUUUAAUUCCAGUACAGAAAACAUUUGACAGCCAUGUGAAAGAGUAAUAAAAAUGAGACUACUCAUUUCUUAAAACCAUUUUAUUGACCCAUGUACAGAAAGUGCAGCAGCGACCACAAAAAAGUCGGAUUUUGUGUUGAUGAUGAGCCAAGGAAAUUCAUUGCAGUUGUGAACAUUCAGGAAGAAAAAUCCCAGCAGCCCCUGGAUCGAGGAACAUGAUGAACACUCUGCAAUACUGCUGUAACACUUACAUAGACCUGAUAUCUUAUGCUUUCAGCCUUUUUUCCACACCUGCAGUGAAGCUACAGACUCCAACAACAGCAGUUCACCUGUAGAUGUUGAGAAUAUAUUUGUGACAACUGAAAUCUGUGUCAAAUACAUAAAGGUUUGAAGAGGAGAGUGAGGACAUGAAUUAUCCAAAAUCACGCAGCAAGAUACAUAAAGAUCCUGAGGAGUGAAGAGAUUAAAUGGAAGUGCAAGAAAGGCCUCAUCUGUUUCCAGUGUGUGGAAAGAGUUUUUCACAGCUGGCCAACUGCAAGAAGCACCAGAAGAUCCAUUCUUCAGUGAAAACUCAUGCUUGUGUGGAGUGUAGCAAGACCUUCAACACGUCUGAAUAUCUGCGAAAGCAUCAGAAAACUCACACUACAGAAAGACCGUUCACAUGUUCUCAGUUCAAAGGUAAAAACCACCUUGUGACACAUGAAAGAAUUCACACUGGAAAGAAGCCGCACACGUGCCGUCAGUGUGGGAGGAGCUUCAUACAGUCAUCAGGACUCACUUAUCAUAUGCGUCAUCACUCUGGAGAAAAAGCAUUUAAUUGUGAUCAGUGUGGGAAAAAUUUCACCUCAGUGCCAAAUCUAAAAAAACACCUGACAAUUCAUAUGAAUGAGAGGCUCCAUAAGUGUCCUUUGUGUGAAAAGAGUUUCUCACGCAUGGACUCUCUGAAACAGCACCAAAAAGUACAUGAUGUUGUGCGGGAUCACAUGUGCUUUAUAGCAGUGAGCCAUUUGAAGCAGCACCAGAGGAUUCAUAGUGACGAAAAACCGUUCAGCUGCUCGAAGUGUGGAAGGAGUUUCACACAAAAAAGCCACUUAAACAAACACAUGCGGACACAUAAACCUCAAGAAUCAGGUCUCAGUUAGCGUCUGUGCAGCUGAUCAAAUAAAUGAGAUUCUGAUCAUGCAAAUAUUAUUUUAUUGUUCAAAUAAAGCUGUUUUGAAUUUGUUUAAAGAAUGUUGGU